rnacentral:rRNA from 1 species
AUGUGCUUGAGCAGGCAUUUGGACCUAGGAUGGCGGGUGCAACAUCUCGGGGAGAAUCAAGUCGUCGUAAUGGCAUCUCUAGCCAGAACAGUUCAGUUGGUGCACGACGACGUGGUGGCUCGACAAGUGUGGGCAACAGUAGUAGGGUCCCCCUUGAAGUGGAGCCUGAUGGCUACAAUUCUGGGGUUGAUGAAGAGAAGUUAUAUUCUGAUGUUAUUCAGAAUUUACGACGGGCACAUAGGGCUGAAAACCAAGAUGAGGCUCACAAUGCAGUCCGUGUGGAUGAUGACGCAAUGGGUGAGGACGAAGACCUUGCAGCUGUUCAAUGGGACCCUUUGA